GACAGCCAGUCUGAAGGGUCAGAGGGUGGAACCACUGGCCAGGGCUCCUCACCCUGGCAGGGGAUCAGGAAGGUUUUCUGAAAGUCCUUGGAAUUAACUUCAUCACAACUACACAGAGAAACCACUCAAGUUUCUUCAGAUGGAGUUUCUGGGGUAUAAACCAUCCAAUUGAAAGCGCUUCCAACUAGUUAAAAUGCACCCGAGGGUGCUGUACUUCAGAAGCGAUGUGGUCUAACUUCCCGUGGAACAGCAGCAGCCUUGACCCACUGCUCUACCCCUGCUCGUAAAGGAUGCAGGUUCCAGGGAGGAGCUUCACCUCCGCGGGCUGCCCAACGCCCUCACUGAGCUCAUCCACAUUCAGGUUCGAUGAUGUGCAGCACCCACAGCUGAGAGCAAAUUCUCUCUCAGUUAGCGAUUGCAUCUGGCUCUUAAUAGAGACCUGACUUCGUGGCCUAAACACGUGAGGGUUUAAUUGAUACAGUGCUUGUGCUCAUUCUGAGAUUUUAUAGAGUCAGCGUUCGAGCCCGGGGCCACCUGACUCCUAGGACAAGGCAAGCACUGCACCAUGCUGCCAGACCGAGCUUCCUGGAGCCUCGGUUUCUCUGCCUGUGACAGGGCUGGAGUCAUCUGCCUGCCUCAGGCGGCUGUUUUGAGAAUGAAAUGAGAUAUGGCAUAAA